AACGGCCGCGGUAUUUUGACCGUGCAAAGGUAGCAUAAUCAUUAGUCUUUUAAAAGGAGGCUGGAAUGAAUGGUUUGACGAAACAUUAGCUGUCUCAUUUAUUUUAUUAGAACUUAAUUUUUUAGUUAAAAAGCUGAAAUUUUUUUGGAAGACGAGAAGACCCUAUAGAGCUUUAUAUUAAAUUGUAUUUAUUUGAACAUUUAUUUUGAAUAUAUGUUUUAAUAUUGUGUUGGGGUGACAAGAAUAUAUAAUUAACUUUUCUAUAUUAAUUUCAUUUAUUUAUGUUUAUUUAGAUCCUUUAUUAUUGAUUUUUAGAUCAAGUUACCUUAGGGAUAACAGCGUAAUCUUCCUUCAGAGCUCAAAUUUACAGGAAGGCUUGCGACCUCGAUGUUGGAUUAAGAUUAUAAUAGGGUGUAGCCGCUUAAUUUAUGGGUCUGUUCGAC
rnacentral:rRNA from 1 species